rnacentral:rRNA from 1 species
UACGAAGGGGCUAGCGUUGCUCGGAAUCACUGGGCGUAAAGGGUGCGUAGGCGGGUCUUUAAGUCAGGGGUGAAAUCCUGGAAGCUCGAACUCCAGAACUGCCUUUGAUACUGAAGAUCUUGAGUUCGGGAGAGGUGAGUGGAAGCUGCGAGUGUAGAGGUGAAAUUCGUAGAUAUUCGCAAGAACACCAGUGGCGAAGGCGGAGCUC